CCGUCCACUAUGGAUUAAUUAGAAGUAGACGGCGUCGUUUUUCUUCAAAAUUCUCCACUUUCUCGCUCCAAAAGUCUCAUUGCAAUCAAAUUCGUUCGAUCAGUAAUACUAAAAUUCUUCACUCCACGCAGAUCUACUGCAUCUUGCUCUCGUUAUCUUUAAGAGAAUUGAGAAUUAGAAAGUAAAGGCUCCAGCACUUUCUGGAAAAGCUUUUUGACAAAAAAAGGAGAAGGGAAGCUGCAACUGGGUGAAGGAAAAAAUUUCUUCAUGACCUUUUGAAAUUUUCUGCAAUGUCGGGGUUAUUUAAUUCAUCACUCAAUGGGUCAACAUCAAAUCUUCCUGACAGCACUGGGCGCCCAUUAACAUCAUCGUUCUCUGGUCAAUCUGGGGCCGCCUCUCCUGUUUUUCAUCACACUGGAAAUAUUCAGGGACUGCAUAAUAUUCAUGGGAGUUAUAAUGUUCCUAACAUGUCUGGCUCCCUUGGAUCUCGGAAUACAAUAAUGAAUAAUGUCCCUUCUAGUGGGGUCCAACAAGCUGCAAGUAACCUCUCCAGUGGAAGAUUUGCAUCAAAUAAUCUUCCAGGUGCUCUUUCUCAGAUAUCUCACAGCAAUGCACAUGGUCAUUCAGGGAUGGUGAAUAGAGCUGGUAUGAGUGUCAUUGGAAACCAAGGGUAUAGUGGUAGCACAAAUGGAGUUGGUGGUUCUAUUCCUGGGAUUCUCACAACCUCUGCUGCAAUUGGUAAUCGGACUGCUGUUCCAGGGUUAGGCAUUUCUCCGAUUAUGGGGAAUGCUGGCCCACGGAUUACAAGCUCAGUGGGGAACAUAGUAGGUGGGGGUAACAUUGGCAGAAGCAUUAGUUCUGGUGGAGGAUUGUCUGUGCCUGGUCUGGCUUCACGGCUAAACUUAAUUGCCAACAGUAGUUCUGGAAAUAUGAAUGUGCAAGGACAAAACAGGCUUGUGGGCAGUGUGCUUCAACAAGCUUCUCCGCAGGUAAUUUCUAUGUUAGGCAAUUCCUACCCUUCAGCUGGCGGUCCUCUGUCACAAAACCAUGUACAAGCUGUGAAUAACUUUAAUAAUAUGGGGAUGUUGAAUGAUAUGAAUGCCAAUGACGGUUCUCCUUUUGACAUCAAUGAUUUCCCUCAACUGAGCGGUCGUCCCAGUUCUGCUGGUGGUCCUCAAGGACAAUUAGGUUCAUUGCGGAAACAAGGUCUUAGCCCAAUCGUUCAACAAAAUCAAGAAUUUAGUAUUCAAAAUGAAGAUUUUCCGGCCUUACCAGGAUUUAAAGGUGGGAAUACUGACUAUUCUAUGGACUUGCACCAAAAGGAGCAACUUCAGGACAGUUCUGUUUCCAUGAUGCAGCCACAACACUUUUCUAUGGGAAGGUCUUCUGGUUUCAAUUUGGGGGCAUACUCACCUCAUCGGCCACAACAGCAGCAACAACAUGCCCCAUCAGUGAGUAGCGGCGCUGUCCCCUUUUCAACUGUAAACAAUCAGGAUCUACUCCAUUCACAUGGUUCAGACAUGUUUCCAUCAUCUCAUUCAACGUAUCAUGCACAGACCAGUGGACCCCCAGGCAUGGGACUACGACCUUUAAAUUCUCCGAAUUCGGUUUCUAGUGUUGGGUCGUACGACCAGCUUAUACAGCAAUACCAGCAGCAUCAGAACCAGUCCCAAUUUCGCCUACAGCAAAUGUCUUCUGUAGGUCAGCCAUAUCGGGAUCAAGCAAUGAAGCCCAUGCAGGGUGGACAAACCACUUCUGAUCCUUUUGGUUUGCUUGGUUUGUUGAGUGUGAUAAGAAUGAGUGACCCUGAUCUGACUUCUCUUGCCCUUGGAAUUGACCUAACUACCCUUGGAUUGAACUUGAAUUCUUCUGAAAAUCUUCACAAAACAUUUGGUUCCCCAUGGUCUGACGAGCCUACCAAGGGAGAUCCAGAAUUUACUGUGCCACAAUGUUAUUAUGCUAAACAACCGCCACCUUUAAAUCAAGCUUACUUCUCAAAGUUUCAAUUAGAGACUUUAUUUUAUAUCUUCUACAGUAUGCCGAAGGAUGAAGCACAAUUAUAUGCUGCCAAUGAAUUGUAUAACAGAGGUUGGUUCUACCACAGAGAGCAUCGUUUGUGGUUUAUGAGGAAUGCUAACAUGGAGCCACUUGUAAAGAUGAAUGCAUAUGAGAGAGGAUCUUAUGUUUGUUUUGAUCCGAACGCAUGGGAGACAGUCCGCAAGGAUAAUUUUGUUCUCCACUAUGAUAUGGUGGAAAAGAGACCAGCUCUACCUCAACAUUGACGACAUAUGCUGUUUAAAUGUACACCUACAGGUUCAACUAAUAUGUUAGGACAGAAGUAAGCUCGUGCUUAGUCUUUCUUCUUUUUGGCAACUAAUCUUUUUCUCAUGGAAUAGCAGGGGUGUAACUGAGAGCAUUUGAAGAAAUUGUGGGACAUGCUAUAAUAGCUAUGAAGCUGUAAAAUGAAGGCCGUCUGCAGAUCUGAUAAUCUUGUGACGAAUUCAAUAGUUUAGAAAUUUUUCAGUGAACUCAAAACUUGUAUGGAAAUGUAGUGUUCUUGUAAGUUAAGAACAUGUCCUUUUUAUUUUAACAUUCUCUUUUAAAGUCUAGCAUUUAUAAUACUCUCUGUUGCAGUUUCUAGUAAAUUUUUCUGUAUUAACCCAUUUCUGUAUAUUAAGUUGUUUCAUGCGGUGUUCCCUUU